rnacentral:rRNA from 1 species
AGGAUUCCUGGGCAACGAUCGUCGUCCCAGGGUAAGUCGGGACCUAAUCCGAGGCAUGGAGCGUAGGAGAUGGACAACUGGCAGAUAUUCCAGUACCGGUAAUGAUUGUUUGAGCGACGGAGUGACACAGGAGGGCAGGCAGGCAGGAGAUUGGUUGUUCCUGUAUAAGCGUGUAGGAUGAAACAUAGGCAAAUCCGUGUUUCGGAAGUCUGAGGCGUGAUGUGGAGUGUCCAGAGAUGGACGCGAAGCUGCUGACCCCACACUGUCGAGAAAAGCUUCUAGUUAGAGAAUUACCGCCCGUACCGUAAACCGACACAGGUAUGCGGGGAGAGAAUCCUAAGGUGCGCGGGAGAACCCUCGUUAAGGAACUCGGCAAAAUGUACCCGUAACUUCGGGAUAAGGGUAGCCGCUGUUGUGAAGUCUGAACAGACGGAGCAUGAGGCGGUCGCAGAGAAGAGGCCCAAGCGACUGUUUACCACAAACACAGGUGCCUGCUAAAGAGAAAGCUGAUGUAUAGGUGCUGACACCUGCCCGGUGCUGGAAGGUUAAGAGGAGGGGUUAGACUUCGGUCGAAGCUCUGAAUUGAAGCCCCAGUAAACGGCGGCCGUAACUAUAACGGUCCUAAGGUAGCGAAAUUCCUUGUCGGGUAAGUUCCGACCCGCACGAAAGGUGUAACGAUUUGGGCACUGUCUCAACGAGGGACCCGGUGAAAUUGAAGUACCUGUGAAGAUGCAGGUUACCCGCGACUGGACAGAAAGACCCCAUGGAGCUUUACUGUAACCUGACAUUGUGUUUUGAUACAUCACGUACAGGAUAGGUGGGAGGCUUGGAAGGCAGGACGCCAGUUUUGCCGGAGCCGUUGUUGGGAUACCACCCUUGAUGUAUCGAAAUUCUAACCGUAGGAGUAACGAAACUCGGGACAGUGUCAGGCGGGCAGUUUGACUGGGGCGGUCGCCUCCCAAAGAGUAACGGAGGCGCCCAAAGGUACGCUCAGAUUGGAUGGAAACCAAUCGUCGAGUGCAAUUGCAGAAGCGUGCUUGACUGUGAGACAAACAAGUCGAACAGGGACGAAAGUCGGGAAUAGUGAUCCGGCGGUGCCGAAUGGAAGGGCCGUCGCUCAACGGAUAAAAGCUACCCUGGGGAUAACAGGCUGAUCUCGCCCAAGAGUUCACAUCGACGGCGAGGUUUGGCACCUCGAUGUCGGCUCAUCGCAUCCUGGAGCUGGAUUCGGUUCCAAGGGUUGGGCUGUCCGCCCAUUAAAGCGGUACGCGAGCUGGGUUCAGAACGUCGUGAGACAGUUCGGUC